AGCCAUGCAUGUCUAAGUACAAACUUUUACACGGUGAAACCGCGAAUGGCUCAUUAAAUCAGUUAUGGUUUAUUAGAUGGUGCUAUCCUACUUGGAUAACUGUGGUAAUUCUAGAGCUAAUACAUGCGACAAAGCUCCGACCCUCGUUGGAAAGAGCGCUUUUAUUAGAUCAAGACCAACCGGUAUCGCCUUCGGGUGUGCCGUCGGAUUGAUGACUCUGGAUAACCUUUGCCGAUCGUAUGGCCCCGAGCCGACGACGAAUCUUUCAAAUGUCUGCCCUAUCAACUUUCGUUGGUAGGUUAUUUGCCUACCAAGGUGUUUACGGGUAACGGGGGAUCAGGGUUCGAUCCCGGAGAGGGAGCAUGAGAAACGGCUACCACAUCCAAGGAAGGCAGCAGGCGCGCAAAUUACCCACUCUUAGCACGAGGAGGUAGUGACGAAAAAUAACAAUACGGGACUCUUUCGAGGCCCCGUAAUUGGAAUGAGUACACUCUAAACCCGUUAACGAGGAUCUAUUGGAGGGCAAGUCUGGUGCCAGCAGCCGCGGUAAUUCCAGCUCCAAUAGCGUAUAUUAAAGCUGUUGCAGUUAAAAAGCUCGUAGUCGGAUUUCGGGCGGCGGCCAAUGGUUCGGUUCCGUGCCGAUACUGCUGGUCGCGGCCUCCACGCCGGUCGUCCUUCGGUGCUCUUAACUGAGUGCCUUAGGUAGCCGGAGCGUUUACUUUGAAAAAAUUAGAGUGUUCAAGGCAGGCCUCGAGCCUGAAUGAUGGUGCAUGGAAUAAUGGAAUAGGACCUCGGUUCUAUUUUGUUGGUCUUCGGAACUGGAGGUAAUGAUUAAUAGGGACGGACGGGGGCAUUCGUAUUGCGGCGUUAGAGGUGAAAUUCUUGGAUCGUCGCAAGACGGACUACUGCGAAAGCAUUUGCCAAGAAUGUUUUCAUUGAUCAAGAGCGAAAGUCAGAGGAUCGAAGACGAUCAGAUACCGUCCUAGUUCUGACCAUAAACGAUGCCAACUAGCGAUCCGGCUCCGUUGCUUUAUAAGACUGGCCGGGCAGCUCCCGGGAAACCAAAGUCUAUGGGUUCCGGGGGAAGUAUGGUUGCAAAGCUGAAACUUAAAGGAAUUGACGGAAGGGCACCACCAGGAGUGGAGCCUGCGGCUUAAUUUGACUCAACACGGGAAAACUCACCCGGCCCGGACACCGUAAGGAUUGACAGAUUGAAAGCUCUUUCUUGAUUCGGUGGGUGGUGGUGCAUGGCCGUUCUUAGUUGGUGGAGCGAUUUGUCUGGUUAAUUCCGAUAACGAACGAGACUCUAGCCGGCUAACUAGUCCGUCGAUGCCAUAU
rnacentral:rRNA from 1 species